AUACGUAGGUGGCAAGCGUUGUCCGGAAUUAUUGGGCGUAAAGCGCAUGUAGGCGGUAAUUUAAGUCUGUCGUGAAACUGCGGGGCUCAGCCCCGUAUGGCGAUGGAAACUGGGUUACUUGAGUGCAGGAGAGGAAAGGGGAACUCCCAGUGUAGCGGUGAAAUGCGUAGAUAUUGGGAAGAACACCGGUGGCGAAGGCGCCUUUCUGGACUUGGUCUGACGCUGAGAUGCGAAAGCCAGGUUAGCGAACGGGAUUAGAUACCCCGGUAGUCCUGGCCGUAAACGAUGGGUACUAGGUGUGGGAGGUAUCGACCCCUUCCGUGCCGGAGUUAACGCAAUAAGUACCCCGCCUGGGGAGUACGGCCGCAAGACUGAAACUCAAAGGAAUUGACGGGG
rnacentral:rRNA from 1 species